AGCUACUUCUCGAAUCUGGACCACAGCUUCCUCUAUAAGAUGAUAUCUGCUUCUAACUUGACUCUGAAAGUGGUGAAGCUGUUCAUUAUUACGACUCUCAUUUGCUUUUAAGUGCUUGAUCUGGAUCUCACAAUUUUGCAGCACCGUUUCUAGCUCUUCGAUUCUUUUCUUCAUUUCUUCAAUCUUGCUCAAGCUUGCUUUCAACUCUAUCGCCAAAUUUCAAUUUUGA
rnacentral:lncRNA from 1 species